AUGAGAGGUAAUGCUAAUGGCCUGAAAAAAUUGAUUAUGGAUGAGUCCCCUUCUGCCUACUAUGUUCAUUGUUUUGCCCAUCAACUACAGUUAACUCUUGUUGCUGUUGCUAAGGAGAGUGGUGAUUGUACUUGGUUCUUUCAACAGCUUGCACACUUGUUAAAUGCUCUUGGCAUGUCUUGUAAAAAGAUGAGAAUGCUUCGGAUAGCUCAUGCUGAAGAACUCAUUGAUGCACUGGAAUUGGAAAAAGUAGAAACAGGGAGUGGGCUGAAUCAGGAAAUGGGUUUCGGAAGGCCAUGUGAUACACGUUGAGGCUCUCACUUCAAAACUGUGAACCAUGUCAUCUCUAUGUAUGGUGCACUACGACGAGUCCUUCGCAAGAUUGGAGACGAGUACCAUGGUGCGGAGGCACAAGCGGCUCUAUCCAUACAGACAAUAUUUCGAUCAUUUGAGUUUGUUUUCCUGGCACACUUGAUGCAAGAAAUAUUUGGAUACACAGAUGAGUUGUGUAGAGCUUUGCAAAAGCAAGACGAAGAUAUUGUUCAUGCUAUUGAGCUUGUUCCUGACACAAAGUAUUACUUGGAGGCUUUGAGGACCAAUGUUGGAUGGGAUGAUUUUCUCACAAAGAUCACAUCUUUUUGUACAAAGCAUAAGAUCAAAGUUGUUGAUAUGGAGGGUCCUUACUUUCCCGUUGGCCGGCCUAGAAGGGGUUUAUGUAAUGGUCCGAACAAUUACCACCGCUUCAAGAUUGAUAUGUUUGUGGGUGUCAUUAAUAGGCAAAUCAGUGAGCUGAAUGGCAGAUUUGAUGAGGUAAACACAGAGCUACUUUCUUGCAUGGAAGCAUUUUGUCCACUUCAUCUAUUUGCUGCUUAUGACCAAGAGAAAUUAGUUACACUUGCUACAAAGUUUUAUGCUUUUGAUUUUACAAGGGAUGAACUGGCAAGACUUCCAUGGCAACUAAACAUGUAUGUUACUAAUGUGCGUAGAGAUGAAAGGUUUCAAAACCUGAAAAAUCUGUGUCAGCUUUCAGUUAUGCUUGUUGAGACAAACAAGCAUGAACAAUAUCAUAUUUGUUUACAAGUUUCUUAA
rnacentral:rRNA from 1 species